GGGUUGUGAGGUUAAGCGACUAAGCGUACACGGUGGAUGCCCUGGCAGUCAGAGGCGAUGAAGGGCGUGCUAAUCUGCGAUAAGCGCCGGUAAGGUGAUAUGAACCGUUAUAACCGGCGAUACCCGAAUGGGGAAACCCAGUGUGAUUCGUCACACUAUCAUUAACUGAAUCCAUAGGUUAAUGAGGCGAACCGGGGGAACUGAAACAUCUAAGUACCCCGAGGAAAAGAAAUCAACCGAGAUUCCCCCAGUAGCGGCGAGCGAACGGGGAGGAGCCCAGAGCCUGAAUCAGCAUGUGUGUUAGUGGAAGCGUCUGGAAAGGCGCGCGAUACAGGGUGACAGCCCCGUACACAAAAGCGCAUGUGCUGUGAGCUCGAUGAGUAGGGCGGGACACGUGGUAUCCUGUCUGAAUAUGGGGGGACCAUCCUCCAAGGCUAAAUACUCCUGACUGACCGAUAGUGAACCAGUACCGUGAGGGAAAGGCGAAAAGAACCCCGGCGAGGGGAGUGAAAAAGAACCUGAAACCGUGUACGUACAAGCAGUGGGAGCACCCUUUGGGUGUGACUGCGUACCUUUUGUAUAAUGGGUCAGCGACUUAUAUUCUGUAGCAAGGUUAACCGAAUAGGGGAGCCGGAGGGAAACCGAGUCUUAACCGGGCGUUAAGUUGCAGGGUAUAGACCCGAAACCCGGUGAUCUAGCCAUGGGCAGGUUGAAGGUUGGGUAACACUAACUGGAGGACCGAACCGACUAAUGUUGAAAAAUUAGCGGAUGACCUGUGGCUGGGGGUGAAAGGCCAAUCAAACCGGGAGAUAGCUGGUUCUCCCCGAAAGCUAUUUAGGUAGCGCCUCGUGAAUUCAUCUCCGGGGGUAGAGCACUGUUUCGGCUAGGGGGCCAUCCCGGCUUACCAACCCGAUGCAAACUGCGAAUACCGGAGAAUGUUAUCACGGGAGACACACGGCGGGUGCUAACGUCCGUCGUGAAGAGGGAAACAACCCAGACCGCCAGCUAAGGUCCCAAAGUCAUGGUUAAGUGGGAAACGAUGUGGGAAGGCCCAGACAGCCAGGAUGUUGGCUUAGAAGCAGCCAUCAUUUAAAGAAAGCGUAAUAGCUCACUGGUCGAGUCGGCCUGCGCGGAAGAUGUAACGGGGCUAAACCAUGCACCGAAGCUGCGGCAGCGACACUGUGUGUUGUUGGGUAGGGGAGCGUUCUGUAAGCCUGUGAAGGUGUGUCGUGAGGCAUGCUGGAGGUAUCAGAAGUGCGAAUGCUGACAUAAGUAACGAUAAAGCGGGUGAAAAGCCCGCUCGCCGGAAGACCAAGGGUUCCUGUCCAACGUUAAUCGGGGCAGGGUGAGUCGACCCCUAAGGCGAGGCCGAAAGGCGUAGUCGAUGGGAAACGGGUUAAUAUUCCCGUACUUGGUGUUACUGCGAAGGGGGGACGGAGAAGGCUAUGUUGGCCGGGCGACGGUUGUCCCGGUUUAAGCGUGUAGGUGUGUGUUCCAGGUAAAUCCGGUUCACUUUAACACUGAGGCGUGACGACGAGGCACUACGGUGCUGAAGCAACAAAUGCCCUGCUUCCAGGAAAAGCCUCUAAGCAUCAGGUAACAUCAAAUCGUACCCCAAACCGACACAGGUGGUCAGGUAGAGAAUACCAAGGCGCUUGAGAGAACUCGGGUGAAGGAACUAGGCAAAAUGGUGCCGUAACUUCGGGAGAAGGCACGCUGACACGUAGGUGAAGUGAUUUACUCAUGG
rnacentral:rRNA from 1 species